GGACGAACGCUGGCGGCGUGCCUAAUACAUGCAAGUCGAACGGUCUUUCUAUGGAAGCUUGCUUCCACUGAGAAGAUAGUGGCGAACGGGUGAGUAACACGUGGGUAACCUGCCCAUAAGAGGGGGAUAACAUCCGGAAACGGGUGCUAAUACCGCAUAGUUUUCUUGAUCGCAUGAUUGAGAAAGGAAAGACGGCCUUUGUGCUGUCGCUUAUGGAUGGACCCGCGGCGUAUUAGUUAGUUGGUGAGGUAACGGCUCACCAAGACGAUGAUACGUAGCCGACCUGAGAGGGUGAUCGGCCACAUUGGGACUGAGACACGGCCCAAACUCCUACGGGAGGCAGCAGUAGGGAAUCUUCCGCAAUGGACGAAAGUCUGACGGAGCAACGCCGCGUGAGUGAAAGAAGGUUUUCGGAUCGUAAAACUCUGUUGUCAGAGAAGAACAAGUUGGAGAGUAACUGCUCCAGCCUUGACGGUAUCUGACCAGAAAGCCACGGCUAACUACGUGCCAGCCGCCGC
rnacentral:rRNA from 1 species